CUCGGAGCUGGGAAAUUACGACACCCCAGUCAGAAAAGCAAACUAGAACACCCUUCGAAGUCGGAUUUCCCACUGGGAAACUGGGAGCAACUCCGAAUACUUUGCGUUUCAAUACAGCCGCUCCUGGCAUCAACAGUGACGUCGCCAUGUUGAAAUUCCUACCUCUUAACUAGAACCGUUACCUCGGAUGUGACGUCAAACCCAGCUUCCUAGGUAACUGGAAAGCGCAGUGAGCUAGAUGACGUCUUAUCAGCUGUUUAUCCCAAGUAUCCAAACCGUCUCCAAAAGUCCUGCAGUAGGUUUAGGUGAUGUAAGGCUGUGAUGGACAGACAAGCUGAGCAGGAUGGACUCCCCAUCCUGGAUUGAUUCAA